rnacentral:rRNA from 1 species
AUUGAACGCUGGCGGAAUGCUUUACACAUGCAAGUCGAACGGCAGCACGGACUUCGGUCUGGUGGCGAGUGGCGAACGGGUGAGUAAUACAUCGGAACGUGCCCUGUCGUGGGGGAUAACGUAGCGAAAGCUACGCUAAUACCGCAUACGAUCUAAGGAUGAAAGCGGGGGAUCGCAAGACCUCGCGCGAUUGGAGCGGCCGAUGGCAGAUUAGGUAGUCGGUAGGGUAAAGGCCUACCAAGCCGACGAUCUGUAGCUGGUCUGAGAGGACGACGAGCCAAACUGGGACUGAGACACGGCACAGCAUCCUACGGGAGGCAGCAGUGGGGAAUUUUGGACAAGGGACGCAAGUCUGAUCCAGCCAUUCCGCGUGCAGGAUGAAGGCCCUCGGGUUGUAAACUGCUUUUGUACAGAACGAAAAGGCUCUGGUUAAUACCUGGAGCGCAUGACGGUACUGUAAGAAGAAGCACCGGCUAACUACGUGCCAGCAGCCGCCGUAA